GACGAACGCUGGCGGCAUGCUUAACACAUGCAAGUCGAACGGAAAGGCCCCUUCGGGGGUACUCGAGUGGCGAACGGGUGAGUAACACGUGAGUAACCUGCCCUUGACUUCGGGAUAACUUCAGGAAACUGGGGCUAAUACCGGAUAGGAAUCCUUGCUGCAUGGUGGGGGUUGGAAAGCUUCGGCGGUUUUGGAUGGACUCGCGGCUUAUCAGCUUGUUGGUGGGGUAGUGGCUUACCAAGGCUUUGACGGGUAGCCGGCCUGAGAGGGCGACCGGCCACAUUGGGACUGAGAUACGGCCCAGACUCCUACGGGAGGCAGCAGUGGGGAAUAUUGCACAAUGGGCGGAAGCCUGAUGCAGCAACGCCGCGUGCGGGAUGACGGCCUUCGGGUUGUAAACCGCUUUCAGCAGGGGCGAAGCUUGUGGUGACGGUACCUGCAGAAGAAGCACCGGCUAACUACGUG
rnacentral:rRNA from 1 species